rnacentral:rRNA from 1 species
CAUAUCAAUAAGCGGAGGAAAAGAAACCAACAGGGAUUGCCCUAGUAACGGCGAGUGAAGCGGCAACAGCUCAAAUUUGAAAUCUGGCUCUUUAGGGCCCGAGUUGUAAUUUGUAGAGGAUGCUUUUGGCGCGGUGCCUUCCGAGUUCCCUGGAACGGGACGCCUUAGAGGGUGAGAGCCCCGUACGGUUGGACACCAAGCCUCUGUAAAGCUCCUUCGACGAGUCGAGUAGUUUGGGAAUGCUGCUCUAAAUGGGAGGUAAAUUUCUUCUAAAGCUAAAUAUUGGCCAGAGACCGAUAGCGCACAAGUAGAGUGAUCGAAAGAUGAAAAGCACUUUGAAAAGAGGGUUAAAUAGCACGUGAAAUUGUUGAAAGGGAAGCGUUUGCGACCAGACCUUUUCCUAGCGGAUCAUCCGGUGUUCUUCGCCGGUGCACUUCGCUAGGUCGAGGCCAGCAUCGGUUUCUGCAGGGGGAUAAAAGCCCAGGGAACGUAGCUCUUUCGGGAGUGUUAUAGCCCUCCGCAUAAUACCCUUGCGGGGACCGAGGACCGCGCUUUUUGCAAGGAUGCUGGCGUAAUGGUCGUCAACGACCCGUCUUGAAACACGGACCAAGGAGUCGAACAUUUAUGCGAGUGUUUGGGUGUUAAACCCUCACGCGUAAUGAAAGUGAACGGAGGUGAGAGCCCUUACGGGUGCAUCAUCGACCGAUCCUGAUGUCUUCGGAUGGAUUUGAGUAAGAGCAUAACUGUUCGGACCCGAAAGAUGGUGAACUAUGCGUGGAUAGGGUGAAGCCAGAGGAAACUCUGGUGGAGGCUCGCAGCGGUUCUGACGUGCAAAUCGAUCGUCAAAUCUGCGCAUGGGGGCGAAAGACUUAUCGAACCAUCUAGUAGCUGGUUACCGCCG